AGGAUCAUUAAUGAUAAAACUUUGAGGAUGUUGCUGGCUUUGUCUUUUGGGAUGAGGCAGGUGCACUCCUCGGAUAUUCUUUUGACCACCUUUCACAAACCAUGUGCACCCUCUGUAGGUCUGGCCUUUUGUUCCAAACCUAUGUUUUAGCCAUCUGCUCCAUGGAAKGUCAUUUGAAUGUUGAAUCUUCUUUGAUAAUACACAACUUUCAACAAUGGAUCUCUUGGCUCUCGCAUCGARGAARAACGCAGCGAAAUGCGAUACGUAAUGUGAAUUGCAGAAUUCCGUGAAUCAUCGAAUCUUUGAACGCACCUUGCGCCCCUUGGUAUUCUGAGGGGCAUGCCUGUUUGAGUGUCAUUGUAAUCUCUCAACUUUGGUCUUUGGUUUCUUAACCCAAGGCCCAAAGUUUGAAUGGUGGAGGUGUGCUGGCCGCCCCCCGUGAAGGGUCAGCUCCUCUGAAAAGAAUCAGCAAAGGGAAACGUACCUGUUCCUGCAUCUCGUGCUUCUGGCAUUGAUAAUUGUCUAUGCCUGUUGUGGCUCAAAUGCCUUUUGGAUCGGGCGAGCGUCUUUGCUUACAGUUGUCCUUUGGGACAUUUUUGAACAAAUCACCCUCAAAUCAGGUAAGGAACUACCC
rnacentral:rRNA from 1 species